rnacentral:rRNA from 1 species
GACUUUCACCGUAGCAAUACGGUGGAGGUUGAGUAGCGCAAGGGUGCGUAACACGUGAGAAUCUACCAUAAAGUUGGGGAUAACUCGCUGAAAGGCGAGCUAAUACCGAAUGUGACCAGCCUAUUCUGACCUUCCGAAGCAAAGAAGCGUUUCGGGAGGGUUGAAUAGGCUGGUUAAAGCUGGGGACCGCAAGGCCUGGCGCUUUUUGAUGAGCUCGCGGCCUAUCAGCUAGUUGGCGGGGUAAAGGCCCACCAAGGCUAAGACGGGUAGCUGGUCUGAGAGGACGACCAGCCACACUGGAACUGAGACACGGUCCAGACACCUACGGGUGGCAGCAGUCGAGAAUUUUUCUCAAUGGGCGCAAGCCUGAAGGAGCGACGCCGCGUGGGGGAUGAAGGGUUUCGAUCCGUAAACCCCUGUCAUUUGUGAACAAGGUUCACUCAAUAACACUGGGUGAAUUGAUAGUAAUGAAAGAGGAAGGGACGGCUAACUCUGUGCCAGCAGCCGCGGUAAUACAGAGGUCCCAAGCGUUGUUCGGAUUCACUGGGCGUAAAGGGUGCGUAGGUGGCUUGAAAAGUUUGAUGUGAAAGCUCAGGGCUUAACCCUGAAAUGGCAUUGAAUACUGUCGAGCUGGGGGUUUGGAGGGGGGGACUGGAAUUCUCGGUGUAGCAGUGAAAUGCGUAGAUAUCGAGAGGAACACCAGUGGCGAAGGCGAGUCCCUGGACAACACCUGACACUGAGGCACGAAAGCCGGGGGAGCAAACAGGAUUAGAUACCCUGGUAGUCCCGGCCCUAAACGGUGCGCGUUUGCUGUGAGAGGAAUCGACCCCUUUCGUGGCGAACCUAACGCGAUAAACGCGCCGCCUGGGGAGUACGGUCGCAAGAUUAAACUCAAAGAA